GACGAACGCUGGCGGCGUGCUUAAUACAUGCAAGUCAACUUGACUUUAGAUAGCAAUAUCGAAAAGUAGGGUGGCGCACGGGUGCGUAACGCGUAGGUAAUCUGCCCUGAGGUCUGACAUAACCCGUCGAAAGGCGGGCUAACAUCAGAUGAUAUAUAAUCACGACAUCGUGGAAAUAUCAAACCUUCGGAGCCUUGGGAUGAGCCUGCGUCUGAUUAGGUAGUUGGCGGAGUAAUAGCCCACCAAGCCUACGAUCAGUAGCUGGUCUGAGAGGAUGAUCAGCCACACUGGAACUGAGACACGGUCCAGACUCCUACGGGAGGCAGCAGUAAGGAAUAUUGCUCAAUGGGGGAAACCCUGAAGCAGCAACGCCGCGUGAAGGAUGAAAUACUUUUGUAUGUAAACUUCUGUAAGAUGGGAAAAUAUUCUCCUCGGGAGAAUUGAUUGUACCAUCAGAGUAAGCCCCGGCUAACUACGUGCCAGCAGCCG
rnacentral:rRNA from 1 species